UACAGAGGGUGCAAGCGUUGUUCGGAAUCAUUGGGCGUAAAGAGCUCGUAGGCGGCUUGUCGCGUCGGAUGUGAAAGCCCGGGGCUUAACUCCGGGUCUGCAUUCGAUACGGGCAGGCUAGAGUUCGGUAGGGGAGAUCGGAAUUCCUGGUGUAGCGGUGAAAUGCGCAGAUAUCAGGAGGAACACCGGUGGCGAAGGCGGAUCUCUGGGCCGAUACUGACGCUGAGGCACGAAAGCGUGGGGAGCAAACAGG
rnacentral:rRNA from 1 species